UACAUUAGAAGUCUGAUUCACAGGUCGGGGCAAAGUGAAAAACAUCUGCACUUUUAAAAGAGAGGUCAAAAGUCCGUCUGACUCACCUGUGCUGAGUGACUUGAAUGCCAUCUAAUCUAACUUCAAGUGUAAGAAUUCUGGACCCUUAUUUGAAGUCUCUCCUGCUUUGUUGGGCAAAAGUAAUGAGAAACUCCACUUGGCUUCAGAAUGCAGUGUCAACUCCACAUGAAUCAAAGCAAUAAAAAAGAAUCAACUCAGAGCAGGCUGAGCUAUGUGAGGUUCUUUUUGAGGGGAGUCUCUCUGAUGCUUGGAAUGAAUCCUGCUGAAUCAAUGCUGAUGCUUGGAGAUCUUCAAGUCUUUUCCCUUUUUCCCAUUGCUCAUGAUGUCUAUAUAACCUCCAAACAUGCAUCCCACUCCUCUGCCGAAAGACCAUUUUUUUAUAUCUUCAGUGAUGGUCUAGGCCAGGUUAAUUGACUUUUCUUUUUUCUUAAGCCAACUAAAGUCCUCACCACAAA
rnacentral:lncRNA from 1 species